GCGCUUGUAGCUCAGUGGUAGAGCAUGCGACUUUUAAUCGCAGGGUCGCGGGUUCGAGCCCCGCCGGGCGCA
rnacentral:tRNA from 1 species